rnacentral:rRNA from 1 species
UGGGGAAUUUUGCGCAAUGGGGGAAACCCUGACGCAGCAACGCCGCGUGGAGGAUGAAAUCCCUUGGGAUGUAAACUCCUUUCGAUAGGGAAGAUUAUGACGGUACCUAUAGAAGAAGCCCCGGCUAACUUCGUGCCAGCAGCCGCGGUAAUACGAGGGGGGCAAGCGUUGUUCGGAUUUAUUGGGCGUAAAGGGUGCGUAGGCGGUUUGGCAAGUCUUGUGUGAAAUCUUCGGGCUCAACCCGAAGCCUGCACAAGAAACUGCCGGGCUUGAGUAUGGGAGAGGUGAGUGGAAUUUCCGGUGUAGCGGUGAAAUGCGUGGAUAUCGGGAAGAACACCCGUGGCGAAGGCGGCUCUCUGGGACGGUACUGACGCUGAGACGCGAAAGCGUGGGGAGCGAAC